rnacentral:misc_RNA from 1 species
GAUGAAGAACGUAGCGAAAUGCGAUAAGUAGUGUGAAUUGCAGAAUUCAGUGAAUCAUCGAAUCUUUGAACGCACAUUGCGCCCUUUGGUAUUCCAAAGGGCAUGCCUGUUCGAGCGUCAUUUGUACCCUCAAGCUUUGCUUGGUGUUGGGCGUCUUGUCUCCAGUUCGCUGGAGACUCGCCUUAAAGUAAUUGGCAGCCGGCCUACUGGUUUCGGAGCGCAGCACAAGUCGCGCUCUCUUCCAGCCAAGGUCAGCAUCCACAAAGCCUUUUUUCAACUUUUGACCUCGGAUCAGGUAGGGAUACCCGCUGAACUUAAGCAUAUCAAUAAGCGGAGGA